AUUGAACGCUGGCGGCAUGCCUUACACAUGCAAGUCGAACGGCAGCACGGGUGCUUGCACCUGGUGGCGAGUGGCGAACGGGUGAGUAAUAUAUCGGAACGUACCUUAUUGUGGGGGAUAACGCAGCGAAAGCUGUGCUAAUACCGCAUAAUCCCUAAGGGGGAAAGCGGGGGACCGUAAGGCCUCGCGCAAUUAGAGCGGCCGAUACCUGAUUAGCUAGUUGGUGAGGUAAAGGCUCACCAAGGCAACGAUCAGUAGCUGGUCUGAGAGGACGAUCAGCCACACUGGGACUGAGACACGGCCCAGACUCCUACGGGAGGCAGCAGUGGGGAAUUUUGGACAAUGGGGGCAACCCUGAUCCAGCAAUGCCGCGUGAGUGAAGAAGGCCUUCGGGUUGUAAAGCUCUUUUGUCAGGGAAGAAACAGCAGCUCUAAGACAGUAUGCGAAUGACGGUACCUGAAGAAUAAGCACCGGCUAACUACGUGCCAGCCGCCGCAGUAA
rnacentral:rRNA from 1 species